rnacentral:rRNA from 1 species
CCUACGGGAGGCAGCAGUGAGGAAUAUUGGUCAAUGGCCGGAAGGCUGAACCAGCCAUGCCGCGUGAAGGUCAGUGCCCUAUGGGCGUUAAACUUCUUUUGUGCUGGAGCAAUAAUGGUCACGUGUGGCCAGACGAGAGUACUGUACGAAUAAGCAUCGGCUAAUUCUGGGCUAGCAGCCGCGGCAAUACGGGGGAUGCAAGCGUUAUCCGGAUUUAUUGGGUUUAAAGGGUGCGUAGGCUGUGAGGUAAGUCAGCGGUGAAAUGCCCCCGCUCAACGGGGGGAAGUGCCAUUGAUACUGCAUUGCUGGAAUGCGGAUGCGGUGGGAGGAAUGUGUAGUGUAGCGGUGAAAUGCGUAGAUAUUACACAGAACACCAGUUGCGAAGGCGGCUCACGGGUCCGUGAUUGACGCUGAGGCACGAAAGCGUGGGUAUCAAACAGGAUUAGAUACCCUGGUAGUC